GACGAACGCUGGCGGCGUGCUUAACACAUGCAAGUCGAACGAUGAGCCCGGAGCUUGCUCCGGUGGAUUAGUGGCGAACGGGUGAGUAACACGUGAGUAACCUGCCCUUGACUCUGGGAUAACUGCGGGAAACUGUAGCUAAUACCGGAUACGACCCUCGGCGGCAUCGCAGGGGGUGGAAAGAAUUUCGGUCAAGGAUGGACUCGCGGCCUAUCAGCUAGUUGGUGAGGUAACGGCUCACCAAGGCGACGACGGGUAGCCGGCCUGAGAGGGUGACCGACCACACUGGGACUGAGACACGGCCCAGACUCCUACGGGAGGCAGCAGUGGGGAAUAUUGCACAAUGGGCGCAAGCCUGAUGCAGCAACGCCGCGUGAGGGAUGACAGCCUUCGGGUUGUAAACCUCUUUUAGUAGGGAAGAAGCGAAAGUGACGGUACCUGCAGAAAAAGCACCGGCUAACUACGUGCCAGCCGCCGCCGUAA
rnacentral:rRNA from 1 species